CGUUCGCGACGGUCGCCAGGGGCGCCUCCCGGCGCGGCGGGGCGGGUGCAGUCACGACGCCGCGACUCCCCGCACCCCGGCUGGGCCCCCCGACUCCCAGGAUCUGGGAUCGAUUCCAGGAGUCUUUGGCUGUGGUCCCCACAGGCGAGGAGCAAAUCCUGGAGAAGUGUCCCCGUUGGGGCCGGAAUAGGGGUUUCGACGGCAGCGCGGGAGUCCCCAGAGGGCUUGGGAGCGGGGAGCUCCAAUGGGAGGUGUUGGUAAUCUGAAUUACUAAAAUACGACAGGAAUGCUGCUGAGGAAAAACUCUACUCUCAGGAGGACUUGCGCAAGGCAGGCUGGAGUGCACUGGCAUGAUCACACCUCACAGCAACCUCAAACUAACUGCUGGGCUCAAGUGAUCCUCCUGCCUCAGGCUCCAGAGUAGCUGGGACUACAGGUAUGUGUCACCAUGCCCAGUUAUUUUUAUUUAUUUAUUUAU
rnacentral:lncRNA from 1 species